CUGGUCACUCUCAGGCUGCCACCCCUUGCAGGGUUUGCUUCUUAAACACGUGAUUGUACAGGUAUCUCUUGCUUUUUGAAAGUUCACUCUACAGUACUUUGAUUUUAUGAAAGCACAGCGUUAGUACUUGUUAUUGCUAACCAAGAGAAAUCUGAAGAGGAUAUUUGCUGUUGUGAAAAAGAGGAAAGCAAAAAUAGCGUUCAGUGUUUGUUUUGCAGAGGCAAAUUGUGGAGGCAGUAUGUACCAGAGAGUGGCUCCACCAAGCUCCUUCCCUGGGAGCUACACUCAGCUUCUGAGCAGCAUACCGCCAUAGCUUUGAACUGUGUCUGUGAGCGUCUGUGCUUUAUAUCGAUUUAUUCUGUGCAUCCCUAAGGAAGAUGAGUCCCAAGCUGGUCCUCUCUGGAUGCUCUGUAGUCCCUCAAACCCCAAGGAACAAAGCAGCAUGACGUGACUUUUCAGCGGCCUGAAGCUUUGGAGCUUGGGUGGUAGAAACAACAGAGUUUGGUACUAGGAGUGCAGGGUCCUGCGUCUGUGUUCUUGGGUUGCUAUGAACCGGCUGUGUGAUCACAGCCAACUCAGUCUUCUCUCUGAACCAUGCAGGAAACUGUCACCCAGACUCCUUAGUGGCUGCCUCUGGGCCUGCUGAGUGGGAGUGGAACAUACCUGUGCCCCCUCUGAAGAGGGCCUCCACUUCUGUCUUUUUAAAAAAUUUAUUUAUUUG